rnacentral:rRNA from 1 species
CCUACGGGAGACAGCAGUGGGGAAUAUUGCACAAUGGGGGAAACCCUGAUGCAGCGACGCCGCGUGAGUGAAGAAGUAUUUCGGUAUGUAAAGCUCUGUCAGCAGGGAAGAAAAUGACGUUACCUGACCAAGAAGCCCCGGCUAACUACGUGACAGCAGCCGCGGUAAUACGUAGGGGGCAAGCGUUAUCCGGAGUGACUGGGUGUAAAGGGAGCGUGGACGGCAGGGCAAGUCUGGCGUGAAAGGCGGGGGCUCAACGCCCGGAAUGCUCUGGAAACUGACAGGCUGGAGUGCAGGAGAGGUAAGUGGAAUUCCUAGUGUAGCGGUGAAAUGCGUAGAUAUUAGGAGGAACACCAGUGGCGAAGGCGGCUUACUGGACUGUAACUGACGUUGAGGAUCGAAAGCGUGGGGAGCAAACAGGAUUAGAUACCCUAGUAGUC